rnacentral:lncRNA from 1 species
CAAAGUUUAGACCCAUAAAUUUUGAAGGUCUAGCUACCAUAUUAUUACCCACAAGGGUAAAGGAACAGUACCACUGCUGGAUAAUUGGAAAGUCCCUGUGUGUCAACCUCUGUGCUUCGUGGCAAGGUAGACUAGCAAACAUGCCCAACCUUUACUCACAUUCGAGAAAACACUCCCAACAAGAUUGCUUGCUCCAAAAUCGAAGAGGCACCGUCCUCCGAAUCUCGAGAGCCAGACUCCCAACAUGAUUACUUUCUCAAAAAUCGAAGAGACACUGCUCCCCGAAUCUUCGAGAGCCAGACCCCCCAGCAUGAUUGCUUUCUCAAAAAUCGAUGAGGCAUCGUUCUCCGAAUCAAUCGAAGAGGCGCUCGCUUUCUCAAAAGCUGGGCUGCUCAGAGACCACGAGGGCCGAUCUCAGAAAUCGAAGAGGCACCUACUUUUCUAGCCUUGUCAGCACCCA